rnacentral:rRNA from 1 species
CCUACGGUGGGCUGCAGUGAGGAAUAUUGGUCAAUGGACGAGAGUCUGAACCAGCCAAGUAGCGUGAAGGAUGACUGCCCUAUGGGUUGUAAACUUCUUUUAUAUGGGAAUAAAAUGUUCCACGUGUGGGAUUUUGUCUGUACCAUAUGAAUAAGGAUCGGCUAACUCCGUGCCAGCAGCCGCGGUAAUACGGAGGAUCCGAGCGUUAUCCGGAUUUAUUGGGUUUAAAGGGAGCGUAGGUGGAUUUUUAAGUCAGUUGUGAAAGUUUGCGGCUCAACCGUAAAAUUGCAGUUGAAACUGGCAGUCGUGAGUACAGUAGAGGUGGGCGGAAUUCGUGGUGUAGCGGUGAAAUGCUUAGAUAUCACGAAGAACUCCGGUUGCGAAGGCAGCUCGCUGGACUGCAACUGACACUGAGGCGCGAAAGUGUGGGUAUCAAACAGGAUUAGAUACCCCGGUAGUC